GCGGCCGGGCAGGCGGUGGGGGCCGAGUGGGCGUCGGAAGGAAGCCCGGGGCGGGCCGGGGGCGCCGGCCGAACCGGACGGACGUGGGCGUCGUGGGCGGGAAAGGGGACGCGCUGGAUCGCGCGCGGGCGUGUUGCUUGAUCUCCGAGCCCAGGUGGGCUCCCGCCUCGGUCUCGCUCGUCGACGUCUCCCCGCCGCCGGGCCACUGUCCUCCGAGGAGCGCGCGGGGCUGGGGCGGCCGCCCCGUCUGCGAGCCCCGAGCGCGCCCGUCCCGUCCCGGGGAUCCCGGGCGGAGCUUCCCUCCGGCUGCUGCGCGCGGUAUCGCCUCCGGGAAGUCGGUUCGUGUCCCCGCCAUUGUCCCGCUGCCCUCGGGGACGGGACCCGGUCCGGCUGGGACAGGAGCGGGCGCGGAGACUCGUCAGGGCAAAGGCCGGAGCUGGCACGUAGGCUGCGCGCGGACCCGGGCCUCCCGAGGUGCCAGGGCAGGAAACGGGCAUUUAGCCGACAGUCCCCCGCAUUUGGGGCUCCGUGGACUCCGUGUGUGUGAACUCCGGAUGUGUCUCGGCAAUGAUUCUGCUCUCCAGUUGAGCUCGUUUCAGUCCAGAGUUUAGGUCUGGGAAGGCAGGGCGACCCGGUGAUCCAAUUUCCUGUUGCCCAGCAUUGUCACCAUGGGGGGCGCCAGUUGGGGAGUGGGCCAGGUGACUUUUAGCUCUCUGGCCAGACCUCCUCUGGGCCCAGGGACGCUGUCAAGUUGGGGCAGCCCUUUAGUGCUGCGGCCUUUCUCAGCCGCGCACCAUGUGGGUUUCAUAUAAAGCUGCGUGUGAUCCAGAAGCGGCUGGAGCCUGUCCUGCGUGUGAAAUGGCUGUGCUCUUGUCUAGCCAGGGGAGACUGUGCUUGGACAACACCCACGUGGAGCUUGUCAGCUUUGCCUAAAAAGAAUGAAUUCUCAAAGUCUCCACCCCAGAGAGUGUUGGCCUUGUUGACUGACUGCCCUGAGCUCCUUGUGCAGUCUAGUCAGGCUGCCCUUCCUUAGAACAGUGUUUCUUAAUGGGUAAAAUAAAAUCCACAGGUUUUCCAAGGAAAUAAGUUGUGUUAAAAUACAGGUCAAAAUAUUAAAAGUUGUAUUAAGUAAUGUAUGUGUUUAUUUUUAACCACAUUAAAGAGUAAGUUCCAGCCGUGCAUGUAGUGGUGGUCCAGCUAAUUACUGAACUCUCAAGAUCACAAGGACUGUAAACAGUAUUUGGAGACACCUACAGUGACUCUCUGUGUCUUCUCUGAGUGGCAAGGUCACUUAGCGCUACUACCUUUACUAUAUAAGUGGUUUGUUGCCUCCAUUCACAUUGGAGGGAAAUGCUAAGUAUCACUUCGGGGUUACCAAAAAUAAAAAUGAAUUUCUUUUUUUCCCCCAAAUUAACAGACUCACUGAGUUCUAUUCAUGAACCCCUGUGGGGGUCAUUGGGCCUCAAGUUAAGAACCCUGUGUUAAAUUUGCGACAUCCUCCCCUCCUUUACUUGUGACAUCAGACUAACCACUUUACAGUCUACAGACCUAGAAAACAUGUUUCCUGUCAAACCAUACCUUCGUGGAAAGUCUGGUUGGGUCUAAUCUACAUGUCAAUGAGAGAAUCCCAGAGCUCUCUUUGGAUCUUAUAUCUAUGCUACAGGUUGGGUUCCCAGAAGCUGUCUCUAAGGUGGAAAUUACCAGGCAGUUUAUUUCAUUAGGGUGUGCUCCUCAGGUCCACAUGUAUGAUAGGGAGGGAAAUGAAAAAGGGUUGAGCAGAGGGAGCAGCUGAGCUGUAUUGCAGUCCAGCAAAGGUCUCAGCCAGCCCCUGGGUGGGAUGGCCGUUCAGAGCUGUCUCAAGGCUGCACGAGAGGGCAUGAGAUCCUUGUGGUGAUCAGCUAUUGGAUACGGGCUUCCCUGGAAGGAGGUAUGACCCUGGGUGAGGGUAGUUUUUUGAUGGAGGCAAUCCUCACAGAGGUUUGACAACUGAGGACUGCAUUCCCAGGAGCUGAAGGGGCAUCUGGUGACAUCACAGCAUCCACCACUAUCUGUAGCUGUGUAGAGGCCCUUUUGAGCUGAUGGAAGCCCUCACAUGGCCCUGCAUGAAAAGGUGAAUUGACAGGGAGUGUGAGCAUGGACUAGGUGGUCCAUACCUAGUUCUGGGCACUAAACUAGGCAAGUGAAAGCAACACCCACCAAUAAGGAAAACAGUUAUUGGGUGAGUAUAUCUACCUGUGUUAGGGUCUUGUUAGUUUUAUAUUAUUUAAUCCUCAAAACAAUUCACCCCUUUUUUCAGGUGAAGAUAUAAUAAUCAUCAUCAUUAGUAAUUACCCAGAACCAAACAACCAAUUAAAUGCCCAACUAGGAUUCUAGCCCAAGUCUAUCUAACUCAUAAUGUUUUCUACAAUCAAGCCUAAAACAUGUGGUAAUAGAUAGGAGGGACUGUCGUGGGCCAGCAUAGUGUGGGAAAGCUUUACAGAGGUGGUUACAUUUAAGACUUGAAAGACAAGUCCACUUACAGUAAGUAGAGGGGAAAUGGAGAGGCCCUUCUAGGUGGGAUAUGCAUGAGGAUGGAACAAGCUUGGCAUAUGCUGGGAGAGUGAGGAAUGUGAUACAACCAGAGCAGAGUGUUUCCAUUGGAGUAGGAGUUUCUGUCUGGAUAGGCAAGUAGAGUUGGGAGAUAAAAUUUAUCUGUUAACUUUUUAUGUGUAACAAACAAGUACAAAGCCUCAGGGGCAUGUAACAAAUAAGCAUUUACUGCUCAAGUGUCUGGAAUCAGCAGGGGGUGGACUGAUCUAAGGUGGCUUUUAGCAGAGGAAGUUGGGAUGAUUUGUGUCUGCUCCAUGGGUCUCUCAUCCUGCACUUUGUUUAAUAUGGUGGCCAUUAGCUAUAUGUAGCUAUUUAAAAUUGAAUUAAGUAAUAUUACAAUUUCUGCCUUUCAGUCACACUAACCACAUUUAAAAUGCUCAGUACCCUCAGGUAGCUAGUGGUUACUAUAUAGGACAGAGCUGCUGCCCUAUAGUUUGUUUCCAUCAUGGCUAAAAAUUCUGUUCAAUAGAGCUGCUUCAGAGGGCCAGCUCACACAUGUGCUUUUUCAUGGGGAUGUUACAGGCACAAGACAGUAAGCAGGAAUGUAUAGUGCUUUUUCAAGCCUCUGCCUGGGACAUGUCUCCUAACAUCUCAUGGACUAAAGCAAGUCACAUGACUGAGCAGGGUCAGCAGGUGAGGCAGGUCACCCUACCCUAUAUAGUGGCAGCAGGCAUGGAUACAGGGAGAAAGGAAGAUGUGUGGCCAACUGAUGCCAUGAAGUCCGUGGAGAGUCACGAGAGAUGGCUACAAGGUCGAUGGCUGGGGUAAGCUGCAUGGAAAGCACAGUCCCAUUGCUGAAGCCAGCCGUUCUCUGGACCUCAUCCUGGGUAAUGAGUGCAGAAUGGGCCAAUCUGUAAAUCUACUAAACCAGCUGACUGAGCCAUUGGACAUUUAUCUGAGCUCUGCUGCCUUGGCUUGCGAACUGAACUCCCAGGCAAGAGCUCUUCAAAAAUGCAAUGAGGCUGUAUAGAACAAUAAAAGACGUUUUCUCUUU